UGCCUCGAAGCUCAGUCGCGCGCUGCGCGUACGGAGCGCAGUUUAUUAUGAACAAAACCAAUCGGACGCAGGCUAGCUCUAUUGGUCUGAGUCCGCGAAAUGUUGGUGAAUCGGAAUAACUAUGCUGAUCGCACGGUCCAGCACCGGCGACGAUGCUUUGAAACGACUUGCUCAUCAACUUUCGAUGGUACGCUACGUGCUUACCAUGGUGACAACGGUUAACGGAGAAUCAGGGUUCGGCUCCGGAGAGGGAGCCUGAGAAACGGCUACCACAUCCAAGGAAGGCAGCAGGCACGCAAAUUACCCACUCCCAGAUCGGGGAGGUAGUGACGAAAAAUAACGGAACGUUUCUCCAUGAGACGCGUUACCGGAACGAUCGAGCCGUACAUAAGUUCGGCUAAAUCUAUUGGAGGGCAAGUCUGGUGCCAGCAGCCGCGGUAAUUCCAGCUCCAAUAGCGUAUAUUAAAGUUGCUGCGGUUAAACCGCUCGUAGUUGGAUUGCGGAUGUCGACGACGGUCGUCCUAAGC
rnacentral:rRNA from 1 species